UGUGCAUAACAGUUUGGAACAUUAUAGUUAUAAUAUUAAGAUAUGAAGAGUGUAUUUUAUUGGAGACCUGAUGCUUUGGAGACAGCAAUUAGUCAAACAAUUGUAUAAGAAAGACUUAACUUCAUUCCUGAAUAAACUUGUGCGAUUGAUUGGAAUUUAAACAGAUCUCUACAAGACCUAGUAACCCACUGUUAUGCAACUAAUCAAUAAAAAUAUCGUUACUAUAAUUUUAAAUUGUAUCGCUGAUAUUGAAAAAUAAAUCUAAUUUCAAGAAAAGCUUUCUACAGAAACGCUUUACAUUUAGGAACUCGCCUAUUAGUCGAUCCGACUAUUAGUCUGUUGCCCUUUUCAGCUUCAUAUUCUAAGGAUUUAUAAUUGACCCUCGUAUAAGUCGGACAAAAAUUGGACAUUUUUUUGCAGCUGACAGUUACUGAACGCCGGC
rnacentral:lncRNA from 1 species